CUACUAGUCUACUAAUACAUCAACAUUAUUCAUAGAAAAUUCGUUAAGGUUAUCGGUUGACAAUAUCUCUAGUAUGAGAUUAGUGUUUAAGAUAUUGACGACUACUAAUCACCUUCUCCACCCGGUGAAAGCGCUGCUUGGCGCUCCCGGGUCAAAUCUUUAACAGUUACCGCCUUUUUCUUUUGUUGAGUGGGUGUGUUCCUGAAUCCCCGGACGCCAGCGUUCCGAAAUUGGCUAGUCGUUGUUUAGCUAUUAGCCUCUUUAGCAAACCAGCCCGAAAACAAACAACACAACUUUACAUUGUAUUGCACGCACAGCAAGACCAUGCAAUGUAUAAAUUGGUGACCGGAAUAAAGUAGCAAUGUUAUCAAGUGUGAAACUAUUUAUCUGCUAAUCAACACUACGAAUGGUAACAAAUAAAUUAUAAAAAGACA